UACGAAGGGGGCUAGCGUUGCUCGGAAUCACUGGGCGUAAAGGGUGCGUAGGCGGGGCUUUAAGUCAGGGGUGAAAUCCUGGAGCUCAACUCCAGAACUGCCUUUGAUACUGAAGAUUUUGAGUUCGGGAGAGGUGAGUGGAACUGCGAGUGUAGAGGUGAAAUUCGUAGAUAUUCGCAAGAACACCAGUGGUGAAGGCGGCUCACUGGCCCGAUACUGACGCUGAGGCACGAAAGCGUGGGGAGCAAACAGG
rnacentral:rRNA from 1 species